UUUUAACACAGGAUAUCCACACAAAAACAAUUUGUGUUUUGGGAGAAAAUCUGUUUGAGUACAAGUUUGGUUUUGUACAUUGUAUGCCAUUGAUCAGAUCCAUCCAUAUGAUUAUUGUAGUUGUUAAGUUAUUUUCGUAUAGCCAUAUAUACUAAUGAAUUUUGGUGAGAUUGUCUUGCAAGUGGGUUGUUCUGAUGGAAUUAUCCAAGUAUAUCCAGUACAUUUAUUGGUCAUUGUUGUAUUAAUCUCUAUAAACAAAAACAUUUAUGUUAGAAAGCAAAAUGGUGGGCGGAGGGUGGGUGGGAGGGGGGGGGGGUGUAAAAAAAAACUUGCUUACCUGGUGAUUCUGUUAUUAGCAUUUGAAAAUUAGUAAAUUUUGUUUAACUCUAAUGUGU